ACUAGUUCUUUCAGUAAUUGUUUACUAUCAAUAAAGGUCAAUAACCUUUACAAAAAAAAAAUUGACAAUGGAAUAUUACAUAAGAUUUAAUUUAACACCGUAAUUGAAUUUACCGUAAUUUUAUUACGAAAAAAUGCAUUUAAGUGAGUGGCGCACUAGAAUGAUGUUGAAACUACAAUGUAUCUUAUUGAUGACCUAUUUUCGAAUCUAAGCAUUUAAUGAUAAGUUCUAUGAAUAAACUUAAUUGUGUGUCAUUAAUAUAAUGACAAUAUCCACUCGUUCACUGCUCUGCAGGCGUUCCUCUCACUAAGAAACUAACACAUUUAUGUAACGAAUAUUCUUAAAAUAGACUAUUAGUAAUGUUUAUUUUAUGACUGAUCAUUGUACACUGUAGCGUACAAAUGUAUAGCUAAGUUUUUCUAGCAAGAUGAGCUCCAACCGGAAGAACCGAUACACCCUAUACAUCAACUUCUGUGAGGCGGAAACUUACCAUGACCACUGUGGAAAACCUUAAAUAGAUUAAGAGUUGGAGUGUCGAGGACUAAUCCGAAUAUGGUAAAAUUGGGCCUUAGUAGAGAAGACGAAGCCUGUGAAUGUGGGAAACGACAGGACCGAUACACAACUUUUUUCAUGCACCAUUUAAGGGUGCGAAGAAUUAAUUGUUUUUCCAAAGUACUCUUAAUCGAAGAUUUUACUUUUGAAACCAAAAAAUAGUGUACACAAUGGCUACCGUGGCGAGCAAUUAUUGAUGACUGCAUCAUACGCGUCUCAAAACGCACAAGUACCGUUUUCACUGCAUCUCAAGAAAUAUUGCAUAAGGCAC